AGGAUUCUGCCUCUUUCUUUUUCCUUUUCUAUUUGCACUGAUGACUCUGCCUCAUUCCCAAAGCUCGUGAUGCUUUCUUUGUGUUUCCGUAGGUACUAAUGAUUAUACGAUGGAGUAGAAGAUUUUGAUGACUUGUUGACUAAAUUUGACAAGAAGAAGGGACAGUGUAUAAUGAACCAUACUUGUAAAUUGCCAAUGAAUUGGGAUUAAAGAUUCUUUUUGAUUGUGUGGAAAAUUGCAAAUCUAAUCCCCACAGGUGGCUUCUCUAUAAUUAAUUGUUAUUGUAAUCAAUUCUUUAUUUUGCCUGAAUCGUAUUCCUGUAAACAUUAAUCGAAUAAAGAUUGAUUUGAAGUUUAACUUGCUUGGCAUGAAAUUGAUUUGAAGAUGUAGUAUGUAAUUUGCUUGGGUUGUAAAUAAGAUUUUAGCUGACUAAAUAAGUUCUGUCCGUUCUUACUUAAUUAUAUUCUAAUUUCAUGUAUCUAGAAAUCUCCUAGGAGAAGAAUUGAUAACUUAGAUUUUAAUGAGAUUGAACGGCCUGAGCAUUGGCUGGACUCUUCAUUGAAGCAAAUUAGGCCUAACAAGUAACAAGGUAUGCAAAUUUAGUAGCCGACUCUUAUCAACUUUAUAUUGAGUUCACUGGGCUAAUAUCAUUAUGGUAAUUAGAAAUUAUGUUGGUUGAUUACCUUUAAUUUGUUCAUAGUUGCUUAUAUGUGAUAGUAGUUUAUCGGGAUUUGGUGGUAUAUAUACAGCUAGCUUUGAAGAUUUUCACUUAGUAGUUUUUGGUAUAUUGAAUGCUUCACUAACAAAGGAAUUUCGCAGUGUAAUUUUUUCCAUUUAUUUAUUAAAUUAUUGAGACAGAUAUGGACUUCAAGAUUAAGCUUUUUACAAUUGAUGGCAAAAGAGUGAAGUUUACUAUUUGGGACACAGGUUUUCUUACAAAAAAUAAGAAUCAAUGGGCAUAAGCAACUGGUGGAAAGGCGAGAUGUAGAAAGAUAUGAUGUGUUGAAAGAGAAGAGUCAGAAAGUGAAGUUGAUGAUAAUCCUGAAGCCUUCAAGUGCUAACAAAACAUCAGAACUGCGCAAUGAUCUCUUAUUAAUUGGAAAGAAAGUUUGGGUCAUAAAGUAAAACUUAUUCAGGAUGAGUUUGAUAAAGAUCCUCGGGAGAAUGGUUCUAAGGAUGAAAAUGGUUCCAAAGAUGCUCAUCGUAUUUGCCUUUUUUUUCCCCCCUUUUUAAGUACAUGUAUUUUGUUAAGGGUCGUUUAUUUAAUUAAUUUGCCAUAUUUUGUUAUGUGAAUUAAAGAGUUAUAAUAAUAUAUUUUAACUUGAUAAUAUAUAUUCAAGUAGAAUAAGUUGA